rnacentral:lncRNA from 1 species
UCUUGAUACCUUGUUGGCCAAACCUAUGAAAAGAUUUCCUCAGGCAGUCUAAAAAACAUUACUUCUUUUAUUUUUUGAAAUUAGAUUAUAAUUACAACAUCUCUCCAUUCCUUUUCUUUCCUACAAACCCUCCCAUAUACUCCGUCUUGCUCUCUUUCAAAUUUAUGGCCCCUUUAAAAAAUAAUGACAUACACACACACACACACACACACACACACACACACACACACACACACACACACACACAUUCCUAAAUACAUGAAUACAACUUUCUGAGUCCAUAUAUUGUUACAUGUCUAUGUUUUCAGGGCUAACUAUUUGGUAAUAGAAAACCAGCUUAUUUGUUCUUCCCAGGGAAUACAAUUUAUCCUGAUUUCAGCCUUUCUAACUUGCCUAUAAUUCUUUGUGUAGGGUUGAAGCCUUCCUGUCCUCUCCCUUCAUUUUAACCUGUCUAUUCUUGUCUUUGUUUAUCCCUGUUGGUAAGACUUCAUGGGUAUAGCUUCUUAUAAUAUCAGGAGACACAAUCCAACAGCAAAUUCCCCAAUCUUCUGGCUCUUACAAUCUUUCUGCCUUCUCUUUCAUAAUGUUCUCUAAACCUUAAGUGCAAAAGUUGUUUUGUAGAUGCAUCCCUUGGUAGCUGUUCUUGAGCAAGGUACCACAUCAGUAAUGUUCCCAAUUCAGACUCUUUCUUUUCAAAUGCAUUAUUGUUACCAAGUGAAGCCUUCGGUUGGUGAGGUCUUGUCCUCAAGCACAUUUCCUAUUGUCAUAGUGCAAGGUGCAAGUUUUCUCUGUUAUUGGAUUCUCAUCCUAAGUCUCAGUAGAGGCAGUGAGCAAUAGCCAUGCUACAGGCAGAGCAUUGUACAGCCUUGAAAACCCCUCUGCUAAAUGACUUGCUCCAUUGCUUUUAAACUCAACUUUUCACGACUCAGGCUCAAUAUAACAUGAGUCUCCUAUAACCAAAGUCCUGCUAGAAUCUGAAUUUUUCUCAGCAUUCUGAUUUCCCUAACUUUCACCAGAAUGAUCAAUUAAACUCUGCUUCUAGUACUCAAGGACUGCUAUAGUCUACAUGUGUGAACUAUUCCAAAUUCUCUCCACAAGCCAGCUCCAAAGAUACAUGGUCAUAUGGUCAAAGCAAUGGUUCCAUGUCUUGGAAGUGAGUUUCUGUACUAGUUAAUUUUCUCAUUGAUAUGACAAAAUGACCAAUGGAAAACAGUUUAAGAGAACAAGAAUUUAUUUUAGGUCAUGAUUUAAGAGGGUGCAGUCCAUUUCAGCAAAGGCAUGACAAAGGCAUGACAGAGUCAUGACGGCAGUAUGACAGACUGCAUGGCAGCUAGGCAUUUACAUAUCUGGCAAGGCCAGGCCGAGGUGACCAGGGCACACUAGCUGUACUUUACUCUUUCCAUUCACUAUAGGAAACCAGCCUAUAGGAUGGUUCUGUUCUCAGUUAAAGCUCUCUGGAUCCACAUACCAAAGGAAUGUACUUGAGUGAGUCCAAAUCCAGCCAAUAUAAGGAGUAGCCAUUACAAAAGUAUCAAAAAAGUUGCUCUCCACCCUACAGUCAGGACAUGAUUCGAGAAUCAAGGGUGGACAUAAGAGAAUGGGACUGAUCCUUGGUGAGCUAAUAAGAACAGUGUUUGUGGGACCCAUGGCUCCAGCCAUAUAUGUAGCUAAGGAUGGCCUUGUUGGACAUCAAUGGGAGGAGUGGGUCUUAGUCCUGGGAAGACUUGAUUCCCCAGUGUAAGGGAAUGCCAGGUCAGGGAGGGUGGGUGGUUAGGGGAGCACUCUCAUAGAAGUAAGGAGAUGGAGGAUGGGAUAAGGUGUUUCUGGAGGGAAAACCAGGAAAGAGGAUAACAUUUAAAAUGUAAAUAAAUAAAAUAUUCCCCCCCCUCAAAAAAGAACAGUGUUUGCUUUGUGUUCCUGUGCCUUCAUAUUCUGCUGACCAUGAUGUGGGGUCUUCAUUCCUUUUGUAUCAGCAAAGAAAAAAGUUGUGCUAAUUUCUCAUGUGAGUACCGUAACUGAAAAUGAGUACUCAGGACUGACACUCACCUGUAGAAGUGAGGAAAAUAUGCCUGGAGUGUGGAGAGCCGUGAGCAAUUGCCAUCAUGAUCCUCUGCUGUGCCUAACUGGUAAACAAGUAAUGUGUGCAGGUGCAAGAGUAAAUUCAUGCCAAGUCACUGCCCAUCCUGGGGCGUAGUAGUGGGGUGAUGAGUGAGCAGCUAAUCAGGAGCUGACACGUCACAUGGAGGGGUAUAUAAGCAGCAUCAUUUUCCUUGUUCGUUGUUCUUCUUUCGCCUAUGCAAUCAAUGCUCUCCCAAUAAACGUGUGCAGAAGGAUCCUGUUGCAGCGUCGUUCUUCCUGGCCAGUUGAGCUCGUGCAAGACUGGAGUACACUAGAUCACUGGAGUUAUAUCUUGGUGUGACCACAUCAUGUGCUUUGGGUUCCUGGAACUCACAUCAUUUCACCCAUGGCCAAGACCAUCUAUGAACUCAGGCUUGAAUUAGUCUACUAGGUAAAAUUCUGUGGCCAGCUGAGUGACUCCAUCACUCCUCCAUCAAGGAAGGAGGAAAGGUAAGAGCAGGAAGAGGAAGUGAAGAAGGAAGAGAGAAAAAAAGGAGGGAGAGAGACAGAGGGAGACAGAGAUAGAGAAACAGAGAG